ensembl:misc_RNA 7SK 7SK RNA
GGAUGUGAGGGCAAUCUGGCUGCAACAUCCGUUACCCCAUUGAUACCAGGGUUGAUGUGGCUGAUCUGGCUGGCUAGGUAGGUAUUCUCUUCCCCCCUUACCAAUCCAUGUGCAUCCUUCCCAAAGCUGAAUGCUUGGUCAAAGAGGAUGACCAUCCUUGAUAGAGGAGGACUUGUCUUCAGUCAAGGGUAUAUGAGUAGCUGCCCUGCCCUGCUAGAACCUCCAAACAACCUCUCAAGAGCUCUUAGGUCAGGCCAGAGGCAGCACAGGACUACCCU